UGCUAUGGAUCUUCCUCAGAAGAACAUGAAGUUGCUUCUGUGGAACUGGUUAUCUGCCAUGGCCUCAACAAUCCAUAAUCCAUUCAUGGAGAGGAUUCCCAUGGUCAGAAGUCAACUUGCACAUCUAGUUAAAAUCCAAGGAGGAACUAAAAGAAAGUUAUUUGGAAAAUCAAGACACAGAAGAAUAGACUGCUCUACCUAUAUAUUGCUGCAUGAAUUUCCUUGAGCUGGGAGAUUAUAAUAUAGGAUGGCAAGCUGAGAUCAAGACUAAGUGGCUCUAUAUGUUCCCCUGGUAACACCCCAUGGAUUUUUCCAAAAUCAAUGUUCAUCUUUUCUGAAAAAAGAAUAAGUAUUUAAUGUUUUCUCUUAAUAUUAAAAAAAGUUUGUGAAUUCUACAUUAUUUCCUGCACAAAUAUUUAAUACAAAACGCAUUUAAUAAAAUAGCUUGCUCUUCAUUGC
rnacentral:lncRNA from 13 species